AUGUGGUCUCGCAAGAUCCGGGCAGCACACGCCCUGAAGAUGCCGUCAUGGUUUGUUGGUUGCUCACGCUCCGGAUGCAAAAUUCUGGGUCGACUUGGUCGACGCCGGUGGCAACGGCGGCUGUGGCUGUCGUUUUCCUCGCGGAGGGGCCGCCGUGGAGCUGUUUUUCAGCCGCAAACCUCCUGUUUCGUUGUUUUCCGGGUGAAAACCUAUGGUCGGGCUUGCCGGAUCGGGUGGCGGUGGUGUCUCUGGCAUCAUUCCCUUCUUGGAGGCGCCAUCUUGGAGACACGAACUUCGGCUAGUGUUGGUGUGUGUGGAUGA
rnacentral:rRNA from 1 species